AAUUCGCCCUUAGAGUUUGAUCCUGGCUCAGGACGAACGCUGGCGGCGCGCCUAACACAUGCAAGUCGAACGGAGCUGAGAGGAGCUUGCUUUUCUUAGCUUAGUGGCGAACGGGUGAGUAACGCGUGAGUAACCUGCCCUGGAGUGGGGGACAACAGUUGGAAACGACUGCUAAUACCGCAUAAGCCCACGGCCCGGCAUCGGGCUGCGGGAAAAGGAUUUAUUCGCUUCAGGAUGGACUCGCGUCCAAUUAGCUAGUUGGUGAGGUAACGGCCCACCAAGGCGACGAUUGGUAGCCGGACUGAGAGGUUGAACGGCCACAUUGGGACUGAGACACGGCCCAGACUCCUACGGGAGGCAGCAGUGGGGGAUAUUGCACAAUGGGGGAAACCCUGAUGCAGCGACGCCGCGUGGAGGAAGAAGGUUUUCGGAUUGUAAACUCCUGUCGUUAGGGACGAUAAUGACGGUACCUAACAAGAAAGCACCGGCUAACUACGUGCCAGCAGCCGCGGUAAAACGUAGGGUGCAAGCGUUGUCCGGAAUUACUGGGUGUAAAGGGAGCGCAGGCGGACCGGCAAGUUGGAAGUGAAAACUAUGGGCUCAACCCAUAAAUUGCUUUCAAAACUGCUGGCCUUGAGUAGUGCAGAGGUAGGUGGAAUUCCCGGUGUAGCGGUGGAAUGCGUAGAUAUCGGGAGGAACACCAGUGGCGAAGGCGACCUACUGGGCACCAACUGACGCUGAGGCUCGAAAGCAUGGGUAGCAAACAGGAUUAGAUACCCUGGUAGUCCAUGCCGUAAACGAUGACUACAAGGUGUUGGAGGAUUGACCCCUUUCAGUGCCGCAGUUAACACAAUAAGUAAUCCACCUGGGGGAGUACGUCCGCAAGGGUUGUAACUCAAAGGAAUUGACGGGGGCCCGCUCAAGCAGUGGAGUAUGUGGUUUAAUUCGAAGCAACGCGAAGAACCUUACCAGGUCUUGACAUCCGAUGCAUAGCUUAGAGAUAAGUGAAGUCCUUCGGGACAUCGAGACAGGUGGUGCAUGGUUGUCGUCAGCUCGUGUCGUGAGAUGUUGGGUUAAGUCCCGCAACGAGCGCAACCCUUAUUGCCAGUUACUACGAAAGAGGACUCUGGCGAGACUGCCGUUGACAAAACGGAGGAGGGUGGGGAUGACGUCAAAUCAUCAUGCCCUUUAUGACCUGGGCUACACACGUACUACAAUGGCGUUUAACAAAGAGAAGCAAGACCGCGAGGUGGAGCAAAACUCAAAAACAACGUCUCAGUUCAGAUUGCAGGCUGCAACUCGCCUGCAUGAAGUCGGAAUUGCUAGUAAUCGCGGAUCA
rnacentral:rRNA from 1 species